rnacentral:rRNA from 1 species
AGUGAACGCUGGCGGUAGGCCUAACACAUGCAAGUCGAACGGCAGCACAGGAGAGCUUGCUCUCUAGGUGGCGAGUGGCGGGCGGGCGAGGAAUACAUCGGAAUCUGCCCAGUCGGGGGGGAUAACGUAGGGAAACUGACGCUAAUACCGAGUACGACCUGCGGGUGAAAGAGGGGGAGCGCAAGACCGCUGGCGAUUGUGUGAGCGGGGGUCGUAUUAGUUAGUUUGGGGGGUAAUGGCCCACCAAGGCGACGAGCCGUAGCGGGUCUGAGAGGAUGAUGAGCCACACUGGAACUGAGACACGGUCCAGGCUCCUACGGGAGGCAGCAGUGUGGAAUAUUGGGCAAUGGGCGCAAGCCUGCUCCAGCCAUACCGAGUGGGUGAAGAAGGCCUUCGGGUUGUAAAGCCCUUUUGUUGGGAAAGAAAUCUUUCAGGCUAAUACCCUGGGAGGAUGACGGUACCCAAAGAAUAAGCACCGGCUAACUUCGUG